rnacentral:rRNA from 1 species
GACGAACGCUGGCGGCGUGCUUAGCACAUGCAAGUCGAACGGAAAGGCUCCAGCUUGCUGGAGUACUCGAGUGGCGAACGGGUGAGUAACACGUGGGUAAUCUGCCCUGCACUCUGGGAUAAGCCCGGGAAACUGGGUCUAAUACUGGAUAUGACCUUUCUCCUUAUGGGGUUUGGUGGAAAGUUUUUCGGUGUAGGAUGAGCCCGCGGCCUAUCAGCUUGUUGGUGGGGUGAUGGCCUACCAAGGCGACGACGGGUAGCCGGCCUGAGAGGGUGAUCGGCCACAUUGGGACUGAGAUACGGCCCAGACUCCUACGGGAGGCAGCAGUGGGGAAUAUUGCACAAUGGGCGGAAGCCUGAUGCAGCGACGCCGCGUGAGGGAUGACGGCCUUCGGGUUGUAAACCUCUUUCAGCAGGGACGAAGCGUAAGUGACGGUACCUGCAGAAGAAGCACCGGCUAACUACGUG